AAAUUAUUGAAGACCCACUAAAAUUAUUAUGACUUUCAAGAACCAAAGAUCUAACAUCUUUGUCUCUUGGAAAGAAUAAUAAACUCUCGAUUUGUGUUGAGGCAUUUUCAACACACAACAC